ACUUCCAAAAUCGCACUGCCAACUUCCAAGUUGGAAUGAUUCUUGAUUUGGAGUCAGUAGUCGGAAGCAUGGGUCUAAGUUGCAUGUCCAUGGCCCUCUCUGAUUUCUAUUUGAUUCAUAGCAACUACUCGACGAGGCUUUCUCUUCAUGUUAGGGAUUCUCAAGGACAAGUCAUUGAAGCAGCUGCUGCUGGUCUUGACUUGUUGAAAGAUGUCAAGGUAGAUGCAAUCUUAGGUCCUCAGACAUCUGCACAGGCCAACUUUCUGAUGGAUCUUGGAGACAGAGCUCAGGUCCCCAUAAUUUCUUUUUCUGCAACUCCUCCUCUUCAUACUCGAACUCCUUUGUUCAAUCCACGCAAGGCGAUGAAACUCAAGUUGGUGCAAUUGCUGCCAUAGUUAAAGCCUUCCAGUGGAGUCAGGUUGUUAUCAUAUAUGAAGACUCAGAAUAUGGCAAUGGUAUUGUCCCAUACUUAUCUAAUGCAUUCCAAGGCGUAAAUGCUCACAUUCCAUAUAGAAGUGUAUUUCCUGUUUCAGCAAGUGAUGAUUUUGUUCACAGAGUUAUACAAGAUGAUGACUUUACAGACAAGGGUGUUUGUGGUCCAUAUGUCAUAUACUCUUGGUGCCAGACUCUUUCUGUAAGCCAAGGAAAUAGGAAUGAUGGAUAAAGGUUAUGCCUGGAUCAUCACCAGUGGACUAACGGAUUUUGUCAACCUGAUGGAUUCCGAUGUUCCUGAUGCAAUGCAAGGGGUAUUAGGUGUGAAACCUCUUAUACCAAAAUCUAAACAGCUCAACUCUUUUGCCUAUAGGUUGAAAAAAAGAUCCCUAGAGAAAAGUCCUGGCAUCAGACGAGCAGAUUUGAGCAUUUUUGGUCUGUGGGCAUAUGAUACAUUGUGGGCACUGGCUAUGGCUGCAGAAAGAGUUAAAUUAAAAGAGACACCAAAGACGUUAGAGAAUUCAAGUGUUAAUCUCGGUGUUUCAGACCUUUUCAAUUUUAAAACGUCAGGAGUCAGCCCACAACUUCUAAAAGCAAUGUCAGAGACCAAAUUUGAGGGGCUUUCAGGGAAAUUACACCUUUUAGAUGGUAAGAUGGAGUCAUCAUCCUAUCAGAUAAUUAAUGUGGUUGGGAGCGGACAGAAGGAGGUCGGAAUAUGGAUUCCAUCUCACGGAAUAAGGAGGGAACUGAACAUGAACAGUACCACAACUAAUCAUACAAACUCAAGGAUAUUUAUCAGGAGUAUCAUAUGGCCUGGUGAUUCAACAGUUGUGCCCAAGGGCUGGGAAGUUCCAAUGUCUGGUAAAAAACUAAAAAUUGGAGUGACAGUGAAAGCUGGUUUCACAGAUUUCAUUAGAGUCACAAGGGAUGGUCAGGCUAAUGCGCGCAUCAGCGGAUUCUACAUAGACGUGUUCAAAUCUGUGAUGGAAGCGUUGCCAUAUGCUGUGCCAUAUGAGCUUGUUCCCUUUGAAAAUCCUGAUGGCUCUAGUGCAGGAACUUAUAAUGAUCUUAUUCACCAAGUGUUUCUUCGGAACUAUGAUGCUGCAGUCGGAGAUAUAACUGUCACAGCGAACAGAUCAAAAUACGUGGACUGCACGUUGCCAUUUGAAGAAGGAGGAGUUCUUACCAUUGUGCCAAUCACGUAUGAAGAUGUCAAUGAUAUAUGGGCUUUCCUAAAGCCCCUAAAGAAAUAACUCUGGCUGACAAGUAUAGCAUUUUUUUUCCUUACGGGUCUGACAGUCUGGAUACUUGAACAUAGGGAGAAAAAAUAGUGAACAACUUAGCUCGACUGGUUGUAGUGGUAUGGAUGUUUGUCAUACUCAUCCUGAGCUCCACUUACACUGCAAGCUUAUCGUCAAGAUUAACCGUACAGAGGCUUCAACCAUCAAUAACAGAUGUCAGUGAGCUCAUCACGAAAAGAGAAUUUGUGGGGUGCAACUCAUUCAUAGUGGACUUCUUGAAAAAACAAUGAUUUGAGGGGUCCAGGAUUAGGACAUUCACUUCCCCAUAUGAAUGUGAUGAAGAGUUGUCUAGAGGGAGUAAAAAUGGUGGCAUAUCAGCAUUCUAUGAUGUCAUUCCCUACUCCAAGCUCUUCCUGUCCAAGCAUUGUGACAAAUACAUGACAGUUGGGCCUACCCAUCGCACAGAUGGCUUUGCCUUUUCAUUGAACUAACAGAGAAUGGAAAAAUACUGGAAAUAGAACAAAAUUGGUUGAGCAAAGAACCAACCAGUGCAGGACAAGAGGGCAGUAUGAACUCAAUCAUGAUCUCGUUGCAAAGUUUCAAAGGCCUUUUUGCCAUUACUGGAGGAGUUACAGCAGUAUGCCUCCUCAUUUUCAUAGGCAGUUACCUCUACAAGUAUAGAGAUUUCCAUCGGAGAAUCUCGAAUUCACCAAUCACAAUUUGGCCAAAAGUUGUAGCUAUUUGCAGACAUUUUGAUCAGAGAUCUCUAUCAUCUGAACAACCACAAGAUAAACUUCCAGAAGCUAGAAUUAUUCA